AUGGCGACCAGAGCUGCUUCUCUUGCUCUCUGCGCUCUUCUCGCACUCUCCCUAGUGUGUCAGGCAGUCUCUCGUAUGGAUCCUGCUGGAGGGGUGGUGGUGACAGGGUACCCGUGCGGCAACGUGGUCGUCAUCCGCGUCCCGCACGACGGUGUCUGCCAGCGGGACCGUUGCGGCGGGCUGUGCGUGGAGCAGUUCAUGUGGAAGUACCCGGGCAUCAAGGCCGUCAUAGGCGACUGCACGGCGGAGAAUACCCACGAAUGCAUCUGCUCUUUUCUUUGCUAG
rnacentral:rRNA from 1 species